rnacentral:rRNA from 1 species
UAUGUGAUCGUCUCUCGCAUAUCAAUAAGCGGAGGAAAAGAAACUAACAAGGAUUCCCCUAGUAACGGCGAGUGAAGCGGGAAGAGCUCAAAUUUGAAAUCUUAAAGGGUUUCCCUUUACGAAUUGUAGUUUAAAGAAGUGUUUUCUGUUGAGGUUUUGGUAAAAGUUCUUUGGAAUAGGACAUCAUAGAGGGUGAGAAUCCCGUAUUUGACCUUUACUUUCAACUUUGUGAUACACUUUCAAAGAGUCGGAUUGUUUGGGAAUGCAGUCCAAAAUGGGUGGUAAAUUUCAUCUAAAGCUAAAUAUUGGCGAGAGACCGAUAGCGAACAAGUACCGUGAGGGAAAGAUGAAAAGAACUUUGAAAAGAGAGUUAAACAGUACGUGAAAUUGUCAAAAGGGAAGCGUUUGACACCAGUGUUGUUUUUCUGAAAAUCAAUUAAAGAACUGUUUAUGCUAAGCUGUUUAGACUUUAUCAGCUAACUGUUUAGUUUUGAGCUUUUCUUUAAUGCACUUUUCAGUUAACAAGUCAACAUCAAUUUCUUUUGCUGUAAAAAAGCUUGAGGAGGGUGGCUUGAGAUUCGUCUUAAGUGUUUAUAGCCUCUUGCCUAUGCAGUCGGAGAGAUUGAGGUCUGCAGCGUAGAUCCUUCGGGGCUAAAUGCAUUUGUGCUAAGUUAUAGCAUUUUAUAGACAACUUGUUGACUAUGAUUUGUCUUGUAGCUUACUCGCUUAUGUUAUUUUACCUACGCUUAGGAUGUUGAAUCUGUGCGAGACUAC